GACGAACGCUGGCGGCGUGCUUAACACAUGCAAGUCGAACGGAAAGGCCCUGCUUUUGUGGGGUGCUCGAGUGGCGAACGGGUGAGUAACACGUGAGUAACCUGCCCUUGACUUUGGGAUAACUUCAGGAAACUGGGGCUAAUACCGGAUAGGAGCUCCUGCUGCAUGGUGGGGGGUGGAAAGUUUCGGCGGUUGGGGAUGGACUCGCGGCUUAUCAGCUUGUUGGUGGGGUAGGGGCUUACCAAGGCUUUGACGGGUAGCCGGCCUGAGAGGGUGACCGGCCACAUUGGGACUGCGAUACGGCCCAGACUCCAACGGUAGGCAGCAGUGGGGAAUAUUGCACAAUGGGCGGAAGCCUGAUGCAGAAACGCCGCGUGCGGGAUGACGGCCUUCGGGUUGUAAACCGCUUUCGCCUGUGACGAAGCGUGAGUGACGGUAAUGGGUAAAGAAGCACCGGCUAACUACGUG
rnacentral:rRNA from 1 species